CGCAAUGCAAACAUUGUAAUUGUACAUAUGCUUGUGAGAAAUUCCAGGAACAACCAUGAAACUGAAGCUCACCCCUAGCUAUAUGGCCCGCCUAUCCCUUGUGCUGGUUUCCAGUGAGGCCUCUCGGCCUUUUGCCUGAAUGCAACCAGCACAACGUCGAAACCAUCCGAAAGCCACUCAGCACCAAAGACCAUGUUCCACCUAUGC
rnacentral:lncRNA from 1 species